GACGUAGGGCGCGAGCGUUGUCCGGAUUUAUUGGGCGUAAAGAGCUCGUAGGCGGCUUGUUGCGUCAGCUGUGAAAACCCGCAGCUCAACUGUGGGCUUGCAGCUGAUACGGGCAGACUUGAGUUCGGUAGGGGAGACUGGAAUUCCUGGUGUAGCAGUGAAAUGCGUAGAUAUCAGGAGGAACACCAAUGGCGAAGGCAGAUCUCUGGGCCAUUACUGACGCUGAGGAGCGAAAGCGUGGGGAGCGAACAGG
rnacentral:rRNA from 1 species